GAUGAACGCUGGCGGCGUGCCUAAUACAUGCAAGUCGAGCGAAUGGAUUAAGAGCUUGCUCUUAUGAAGUUAGCGGCGGACGGGUGAGUAACACGUGGGUAACCUGCCCAUAAGACUGGGAUAACUCCGGGAAACCGGGGCUAAUACCGGAUAACAUUUUGAACCGCAUGGUUCGAAAUUGAAAGGCGGCUUCGGCUGUCACUUAUGGAUGGACCCGCGUCGCAUUAGCUAGUUGGUGAGGUAACGGCUCACCAAGGCAACGAUGCGUAGCCGACCUGAGAGAGUGGUCGGCCACACUGGGACUGAGACACGGCCCAGACUCCUACGGGAGGCAGCAGUAGGGAAUCUUCCGCAAUGGACGAAAGUCUGACGGAGCAACGCCGCGUGAGUGAUGAAGGCUUUCGGGUCGUAAAACUCUGUUGUUAGGGAAGAACAAGUGCUAGUUGAAUAAGCUGGCACCUUGACGGUACCUAACCAGAAAGCCACGGCUAACUACGUGCCAGCCGCCGCCAUAA
rnacentral:rRNA from 1 species